UACAGAGGUCUCAAGCGUUGUUCGGAUUCAUUGGGCGUAAAGGGUGCGUAGGUGGCGCGGUAAGUCGGGUGUGAAAUUUCGAGGCUUAACUUCGAAACUGCAUUCGAUACUGCCGUGCUUGAGGACUGGAGAGGAGACUGGAAUUUACGGUGUAGCGGUGAAAUGCGUAGAUAUCGUAAGGAAGACCAGUGGCGAAGGCGGGUCUCUGGACAGUUCCUGACGCUGAGGCACGAAGGCCAGGGGAGCAAACGGG
rnacentral:rRNA from 1 species